rnacentral:antisense_RNA from 1 species
AUGGCUUUUCCUGGCCAGUCUGAUACCAAGAUGCAGUGGCCAGAAGUGCCUGCACUUCCGCUCCUGUCAAGUCUCUGCAUGGCUGUGGUGAGGAAGAGCUCUGCACUGGGCAAGGAAGUUGGCCGUCGAGUGAAGGAAAUGGUGAUGCUGGUGGCCCCUUUCCUGCAGUCAAGUUCCCUAUCAAGGACAUUCAGUUCUCGGAAAGUGUUGAAGGCACACGCUUCCCUGCAUGGUGCCCGCUUCUCUCCAUUCUCUAGAAAUAUUAGAGGCUAGGCUGCUGCUGUAUGUCAGGGCUAGUCCCUCUUUUAUGAAUCCAGAAUAACUCUGAAGAAGCCCAGUAAAAGGCAUGAAGUGAAGAGAAAUCGCUGUAACAGGAAGACAGCAAAGCAGAUGCUAAUGACUACACUAUUUAACGAACUGGAACCAACAAGAAAAUACAGUAUUACUGAAGACUGCACUUCCUUGAACAGAGUGCUCUUCUCAGCAAAUCGGAAAUGCCUACACAAAUUGCUUUACAAGAAAGACUAUUUUAAAACAGCACCUUUCUCAAUGUUCUCAUUCAGGUGA